rnacentral:misc_RNA from 1 species
GUCCUUUAGCCUGCAAAGGGGUCAAGCUCACAUUUGCUCCCAUAAACUUCAGCAUUUGUUCCUCAGUUACACCCCCCUUAGGGGGCAUCCAUUCCGCACCAUGAAGCAAUGAAGACUCACCAUAACAGGAUCUAACCGCAGCGACAAACAAAGUGCUCCUAAAGAAACGCGUGUUUCCAUCAUAAGGUUCACCAUAAUGAGUCAAUGAUCUUACAUCAGCAACAGGCGGAGGACCAAGUUCAUCAUCAAACGCAAGGCAGUAGGCCUUCAACUCACGAUCAGUUUCCAGGUUCAUACGUUGCCCAAUUAAAAAUGCUGAAAGCAAAGAUUCACUGACUCCCGAGCAUUCGUUAUCUUUAACUUUCAAGGGAAGAACCUCUCUCAAAACGCCUUGGACCUCCUCAUAUCCAAGGUGACCACCAGCCAGGAUCUCUCUAAGGGCACCUACCAAUCUCAUUUCACUUGUACGAUUCCCAACAUACUGGGGACCAAUCGAACUCCCAGCUCCCAUAAUCGACCCUCGACCCUUCGGGAUCAGCAAUGAAGAUAACAUCAGGCGGCAGAGCUCGAACUAGCAGAGGCCAAAAGUUAUUCAUUGCCUGCUUUUCCCCUUCACUCCAUCGGGUUGCUUCCGGAAACGCAUUUGCACGAAUUGUCAUUGACGCGAAAAAGGCCCCAAGCUGCGCUUUUGAAACUUCCUCUUCACCUUUAAGCUCUCCCCUAGCUGAUCUUAAAAUGGUGUCUAGUACUUUAAAGGCUUGGUCUUCAUUGAGCGGCCUGGUCUGUGUAGGUCCUGUGCAAACCCUAGCCUGAGCAUCCAGCACCGUCUGAUUUGGUUUCGGCAACUCAGAGCUUCGAUACAAAGAAGAAACCGCCGGAUUCUUAAUAUCCGAUUCCGAAAUCCCCAACUGAUCAAUUGUUGCCGAGUCCAGAGAUGCUUUGGCGGUCAAACAGCAUUUCUGUCCAAUCCAAGGGUGUGGAACGAAUGAUAGAGAAGAGUGGAGUUUUGGACGGGUGAUAUUCCGUUGAUUGGUGAUGUGGAUUGAGAGAGAAGGUUCAGGAUUGAGCAGAACUUUCAUGGUGAUCUCUGCAGCUUCGGAAAAUGCGAAACGGAAAAGCGGAGGCGUGUCAGAGUUACUUCCUAGCUCCUAUUGCUGCUUCUGGUCAUGGAAGCUAAAAAUCGAAAUGAAAAAAAGGGGAAAAAAAAAAAAUCAAAACGCCAUGCGAUACGAUCCAA